UCCCAAGUGCUCAACAUUUGUUGGGCUUUUUCCCAAGUGUAAAUAGCUUGGCGAAUAAAGGGGUGGGCAAAGACUGGUGCCAGCCGCCGCGGUAACCCCAGCGCCCCAAGCGGGAAUCACGAUUAUUGGGUCUAAGGCGUUCGUAGCAGGCUUUGUAAAUUCCUUGUGAAAUCGGCAGGCUUAACUUGUCGGCGUGCAGGGAACACUGCAAAGCUCGAGACCGGGAGAGGCUAGAAGUAUUCCUUGGGUACCGGUAAAAUGGGUUAAUCCAAGGAGGACUACCAAUGGCGAAGGCAUCUGGCCAGAACGGUUCUGACUGUGAGGAACGAAAGCUAGGAGAGCAAAACGGAUUAGAUUCGAGAAAUUUCCUUUCAGUAAACGACAAAAACUUUCCAAGUUUUUGAGUUUCAAAAAAUCAUCAAUGAUUUUUGUAAAUUUCUGAAAUUAGCUUCGUGAAUUUUGUUCAAACAAAAUCUACUUUUACGAUGAGAAUUCAGGAAUCAUAUGGAAAUUUACUCGCUAAUUACCCGAGUAGUCCUAGCCGUAAACGCUGUGAGCAAG
rnacentral:rRNA from 1 species